UAGAGUAAUGCGUGACCAACCUGCCCCAUGCUCCAGAAUAGCUCUUGGAAACGGGUGGUAAUGCUGGAUGCUCCAACUUGACGCAUGUCUUGUUGGGAAAGUGUUUAGUGGCAUGGGAUGGGGUCGCGCCCUAUCAGCUUGUAGGCGGGGUAAUGGCCCACCUAGGCUUCGACGGGUAGCCGGCCUGAGAGGGCGGACGGCCACAUUGGGACUGAGAUACGGCCCAGACUCCUACGGGAGGCAGCAGCC
rnacentral:rRNA from 1 species